rnacentral:rRNA from 1 species
UGGGGAAUAUUGGACAAUGGGCGCAAGCCUGAUCCAGCCAUGCCGCGUGAGUGAUGAAGGCCCUAGGGUUGUAAAGCUCUUUCGCACGCGACGAUAAUGACGGUAGCGUGAGAAGAAGCCCCGGCUAACUUCGUGCCAGCAGCCGCGGUAAUACGAAGGGGGCUAGCGUUGUUCGGAAUCACUGGGCGUAAAGGGCGCGUAGGCGGCCGAUCAAGUCGGGGGUGAAAGCCUGUGGCUCAACCACAGAAUGGCCUUCGAUACUGUUCGGCUCGAGACCGGAAGAGGUGAGUGGAACUGCGAGUGUAGAGGUGAAAUUCGUAGAUAUUCGCAAGAACACCAGUGGCGAAGGCGGCUCACUGGUCCGGUUCUGACGCUGAGGCGCGAAAGCGUGGGGAGCAAACAG